GUACACGGUGGAUGCCCUGGCAGUCAGAGGCGAUGAAGGACGUGCUAAUCUGCGAAAAGCGUCGGUAAGGUGAUAUGAACCGUUAUAACCGGCGAUGUCCGAAUGGGGAAACCCAGUGUGAUUCGUCACACUAUCGUUAACUGAAUACAUAGGUUAACGAGGCGAACCGGGGGAACUGAAACAUCUAAGUACCCCGAGGAAAAGAAAUCAACCGA
rnacentral:rRNA from 1 species